rnacentral:rRNA from 1 species
AUGGGAGACAAAGAAAUGCAACAGACAGAAUGUUGCGUACUAGAAGAGUUUCCGCCAAAUCCCGAGCCAAAAGAACAUAUUAUGCAUGCGACAACCACAAAAGAGCAUGAAGUUAUUGAUAUAUCCAGUAAACACAAAGAGGUUAUGGAUGUCAGCAGACACGCCGUCGCCCAAGAAUCUUGCACAGACCACGAAGAAAAGGAUCCACCAAUAGAACCAGAUCAACCACCACUAGACGACAAGAUACCACACCAUGCUAAAGAGCAAACGGACGAGCAAAAUAUCAACAGCAAUACCCCGAGCACAGAUCAACUUGAACAAACAGGCACUGAUUUAAAAGAGGAUGGCACAAGCAACGACGUACCAAAUACACAAGAACAGGACAAAGUUGAUGAAUUUCUUUCAAGCCUUAACCCGCUCCAACUAGAGGAAUACAACGAGCAUGUAAAGAUGGGCGUUGAAUUCGAUGUAAUCAAAACACGGCUGAAUGACCAUGAAAGCUAUGAAUUCAACAAAGAUCCCACGCCGUAUCUGACAAUCUUGCAGCAAGAAUCAGGAGAACAUUCAAUGCCUCAAUCAUCUGAGAACAGCUCAGACAAGAAAAUCUCGGUCAAGAAGAGACCGGUAAAGCCUUCAAGAAGGCUGCAUGGAAAAAUCCUACUUUUGUCCUAG